ACAGAUAUAUGCAUUGUUGAAGGUCACUGAUAUCAUUACAUCACUGACCAAGACUACAAUACUACGAUAGAAUCAAUACAGAUAUAAAACUGAACCGGAGUUGUUGUCUAUUACAUCACUCAAGAGGUCACAUUUUGGAGCCCCCAACAACAGGGAUUGACGACGCCCUUGGUACUACCAGUUUACUACUGGAUAGAGGAUCUCGUAGAUGUUGCAUUAGCGAUAAACAUUUUGGAAAAUCUGCUCUCUUUAGUGCUGACGACAAACGGUAUAAGGCAAUUUAAACAGUGUAUACACAGAUGCACAGUAACAGCUCGGAGAGCGAUUGUGUAUGUAAGCACAGAUGUGAGACAGAUACAUUGUUGAAGGUCACUGAUAU